rnacentral:tRNA from 1 species
CAGCUGGUAAUUUAGAAUAAAAUAUUAACUUUGGGAGUUAACAACCGGACGCCCCGCCGGCUGA